AUACGGAGGGAGCGAGCGUUAAUCGGAAUUACUGGGCGUAAAGCGCGCGUAGGCGGUUAUUCAAGUUGGGCGUGAAAGCCCGGGGCUCAACCCCGGAAUUGCAUUCGAAACUGCUUGGCUCGAGUCUCGGAGAGGAGGGCGGAAUUCCCGGUGUAGAGGUGAAAUUCGUAGAUAUCGGGAGGAACACCAGUGGCGAAGGCGGCCCUCUGGACGAUGACUGACGCUGAGGUGCGAAAGCGUGGGUAGCGAACAGGAUUAGAUACCCCAGUAGUCC
rnacentral:rRNA from 1 species